UUUCAAAAACCAAAAAAAAA
rnacentral:sRNA from 1 species